AGUGAACGCUGGCGGUAGGCCUAACACAUGCAAGUCGAACGGCAGCACAGUAAGAGCUUGCUCUUACGGGUGGCGAGUGGCGGACGGGUGAGGAAUACAUCGGAAUCUACUUUUUCGUGGGGGAUAACGUAGGGAAACUUACGCUAAUACCGCAUACGACCUACGGGUGAAAGCAGGGGAUCUUCGGACCUUGCGCGAUUGAAUGAGCCGAUGUCGGAUUAGCUAGUUGGCGGGGUAAAGGCUCACCAAGGCGACGAUCCGUAGCUGGUCUGAGAGGAUGAUCAGCCACACUGGAACUGAGACACGGUCCAGACUCCUACGGGAGGCAGCAGUGGGGAAUAUUGGACAAUGGGCGCAAGCCUGAUCCAGCCAUACCGCGUGGGUGAAGAAGGCCUUCGGGUUGUAAAGCCCUUUUGUUGGGAAAGAAAAGCAGCAGGUUAAUACCCCGCUGUUCUGACGGUACCCAAAGAAUAAGCGCCGGCUAACUUCGUG
rnacentral:rRNA from 1 species